rnacentral:tRNA from 1 species
GUGCCCAUGGCGCAGUUGGUUAGCGCGCCAGAUUGUGGCUCUGGAGGCCGAGGGUUCGAAUCCCUCUGGGCACCCCA